rnacentral:sRNA from 1 species
UUAACAGCACGGGAAGCUGGCUCUUCUCCUUGGCCAGAGAACGGGUCUUGCCUGCAUUAGUGACAGCUUCCCAACAUACCCUGCCAAUGUGCAUCAGCGGGGAGGGACCACCUCUCAGGGUGAGGCGGUAGUUUGGUCUCCGUGGCCCAUUUGGUGCUUUGAUCCU